AAGUCGUAACAAGGUUUCCGUAGGUGAACCUGCGGAAGGAUCAUUAAAAUAUAUCAUGGUUUUUUUUAAAACCAUUUUCCUUGUGAUUUCCGUAUACGUUCACUUUGGCAGGUUUUGGGCUGUGACCAGCUCAACUUUCAGAUCUCAUUCACGAGGUUACGAAAGAGGCCUGCCAGAGGUUUUUUUCAAAUCACUUGUUUAAAUUAUCGACUGAAAAAUUCUCUCGUACGAGAGAGAAAUAAAUACAUAUAAAUACAACUUUCAACGACGGAUCUCUUGGCUCUC
rnacentral:misc_RNA from 1 species